AGAGAGAGAGAGAGAUGUCAGAGUGCAGCUCUCCCCCAUGCCAGCAGAGGGCAGCAGAGUCCACCUGAAACCACCUGGGCUACAUCAUAAUAAUCACCUUUAUUUAGCCAACUAUGUUACACGCACAAUUUUGCUUCCGGUACAGAACCAAGGCAGCCAUCUGCAGCGCCAACUCACACCAAUAGCUCUAACCAUAGGGUACAUCCCAGUUCCCUUAUUUUAUCAGUCCUCAUUCGAGUCAGAAGUGGUUCCAGUCUGCCGUCUUGGAGGAUGUCCCAAAGCUCUUAUUCCUGCUCUGAGGAGCGAGGAGGCUGCUGGAGGAGCCGUGAGCAGGAAACACGAGGGCAUCCUUCACAGAAAGAUGUUAUAAACUGACGCCCCUUUAUUGGAAAUCAGUUGGGGAUUGGAUGCUUCAGGUGAAGGAUCAGAGGAAACCACAGCUCAUGUCUCAAAGAACAUCUCUCCUUGCAUUUUUCCUUGCAUCUUAUGUUCGACUAAGAUGCAAGGAAAAGACAAGUGAGAGAAACAUGGAUGCAAAUGAGGGAAUUGGGAUUUACCCCGGACCCACCUGCAGCUUCUCAAUCAGAGCAGAGUUCCUCUUGGCUUUGUUGGUGAAAUCAAAGGAUCCUCUCACCUCCUGCUGGUCUUCAUGUGGUUUGGGGAUGUGUAAGGAGCGAGGAGGUCGUCGUCUGACUGGCUUAUCCUGCAGCGUCGUGCACAGGAGCCGCGCCGCUGAACCUUCCUGCAAGUUCGGCCACAGAGCGCCGGGAGGGAGCCUCCUCCUGAGGAAGGAUGACACCCAGAUCAUUUGGUUGAAGAGGAAGCUGCAGCCCGUCGUUGCUGUGCAGGAUGUCUCCGCCUCCUCCUCCCUGAAGGGAAGUUGAGUCACACAAGCAGAGAAAAUGUCUUCUUUCAUUUCACCUUUUGUUGUUUCUUCACUUCUGCCUUCAAACUGAAGUUUUCAUCACCCUGGUUACAUAACAGUAAAUUGUGAAACUAAUGCCUAUGGUAAAAUUGAAAGGUGCAGCACAGGGGAACAUUUUUUUGAAUGAGGUUUUAAAUUGAGGACUUGUUUCCCGUUGCAGACAGCACUCUGGGAUCUGACACAGUUUUCUUCCAAACAAAAGAAGGUUUAAAGUUUAUGUUGAUGUCAAAGCAAUAAAAUCCUCUUCCCCUUUCAGACAUGUUGCCGUUUAUCUUUUGACCAAUCAGCACUUGGCGGUUUGUCCUCUGAGCAGAAGGAACAGUACGCGGUUGGAGGGGAGGAGUGAAGCAGCUGCGGAGGAAGAAACCUUAUAAGGUGAAAUUAAUGCCACCAGAAAUGUGACCAGAAAGAUGUUGCACAACAUCACAGCUUCAGUCAAUAACACAUGGAAAUGGAAACCCACACCCAGAAAAUCUUCCCUGUGGAAAGACGGACAUCUGAGGCUGUUUCGAGUUGGAACAGAGCUGUGGACUCGAGUCGGACUCGAGUUACAAAUUUCACAACUUUAGAUUUUAGCUGACAAAAUCCAGCAAGUCUUCACCACCACUGACUCACCUCCACCGUCUGACUCUGAUGGGACCAAAGAUUAUACAUCAUGUUAGUUACACACCAACUUGGUGUUCAACCCAACCAUCACAUUCAGCUGUUUGGUCAGCAAAAACAGAAGGCAGCUACAGGAAGCUCAGACGUUAGAAGUGUCCUGUGUGACAGAAACAGCGCACAGAAACACUCCUGAUCAAAUAUUAUUAGUCUUAGUUUCUCUUUCUGGAAGUUCGAACAUUAAAUUUGGUGACGUCACCUAAUGGCCUGCUUAAGACCUGGAUUUGGAUUAGGUCUUGAUGUGGAACCUGGCUUGGGACAUUUUGGUCUUGACAGAGGACUUGGUUAGUUUCUGGUCUUAACUUGGAAUGUGACUUGGGAGCUCGUACUCAGAAACUCUGACUUAGCUGUGACUCGUGUAUUGUGAUGUAAACCAGAGUUCACACCUGCAGACAGUGACACUGAAGUUAAUUUAAUGUGUUUUAUUUGGGGGAAAGUGUUUAAUCACAUGAAACUGCAGAACAUAUUUCACUUGAAUUUAUCUUGAAGUGUUUCUGUAUGUUUUGUGAAAACAAAUCUUCACCUUUUCACUCACUCCAGGGGAGAAUAACUUAAACCUUCAAUGGACAUAUUCAGUUGGAGAAGUCAAAUUAUUGGUACUUAAAACAGUAAACCACUGGACUUGACUCAUCAGACCGAGCGUGGCCUCCCAUCAGUCUACUGUAGUUCCCCAGGUGGCUCUGUGCUGCCACCUGGUGGUUACACUUUCAUCAUAGAGAUUUCCCAAGCAGCUGACAGGCCAGUGAAAGCACCACCUUCAGUCAAUAUUGCCGGAGUGAACAAACAGUGAGGCACUGAAGUGGAGGCUUAAUUAUUUUUGUCAUGGCCUGUGCUUGGCCUGAGCUGAGAGUUGGCAUCAGGCGCCACAGAGACAAAGCAACAUUCCAGCUCCGACCUGCAGCUGUGGUCAAAACAGUCAGCUGCAGAUGAAAGACGACUGAGAGGAACUUUACAUACAGCCCAACUAAGCUGUUCAAGUAAACUCAGUGCGGCCUUGAUUCUGUUGUAUGCUUCUGGUCACAGCAGCUCACUGACACCGGCCUUCACUUGACAUCCAGUCUGUCCCAUGUAGGUCUGUGGUGGGGAGGACGGCGUCAGCUUCACUGGGUCGUUUUGGAAAGUGAGCUGGAGGGAAACGCUGGCAAGCUGAGGAACAGACGCCUGAGAGUGACCAGAGAGUGUGAAGCGGGGCGUUCACGAGCACGGCCUGAUUCAUUUGGAAGCACUGACUGAUUCAAGGACAGAGACCAGGGGUCGCCACAUGUUGACAUUUGACGUGUUUUACGCCUGACUUGAACCCGGGCCGCAGCAGCGAGAGCGCUGCGCCCUAACCACUAGUCUUAUCAGUGCAUCAGUAUCUUUGGAAAACAGUCGUGCUGGAAUGACAGUGCUAUCACUGGGUCUUCACAGCGCCCCCUGCAGGUGGGAGGCUGGACAGCACCUCCAGAGAGCAGAGGUGUAAGACAGGG